rnacentral:rRNA from 1 species
AUACGGAGGAUGCAAGCGUUAUCCGGAUUUAUUGGGUUUAAAGGGAGCGUAGGCGGGAGCUUAAGUCAGCGGUUAAAUGGUGCGGCUCAACCGUGCCCUGCCGUUGAAACUGGGUUUCUUGAGAGUGCAAGAGGCGGAUGGAAUUCAUGGUGUAGCGGUGAAAUGCUUAGAUAUCAUGAAGAACUCCGAUUGCGAAGGCAGUCCGCUGGGGCACGUCUGACGCUGAUGCUCGAAGGUGCGGGAAUCAAACAGGAUUAGAUACCCUGGUAGUCCGCACGGUAAACGAUGAUUACCCGCUGUCGGCGGUAGACAGUCGGCGGCCAAGCGAAAGCGAUAAGUAAUCCACCUGGGGAGUACGCCGGCAACGGUGAAACUCAAAGGAAUUGACGGG